CUAAAUUAAAAAAUAAUAACCUCACGUUGGAAAGGGAUUUGUGCCCAUUUUCCUCCAAAAAUUCCAGUUCCCUCAAAAAAUCAUUCACAUCUUCCUCAAAAUUUUUUACUUUCCCUCUCACAAAUCAAUCUUGGAGUUGUAUUUUCUUCAUCCCAACAAAUUUUUGUUUCGUUCUCCUCCUGCUUUUCCUUCUUCUCCUCCUUCUCCUCUUCUUCUUCUCCUCUUCUUAUUCUUCUUCUCCUUCUUCUCCUUCCCGUCCUCCUCGUCUUCUUCCUCUCCUCCUCUCCCUCCUCCUCGCCCUCCUUCUCGUAUGGUACAACUUCAAUUAUAAACAACAGAGUAGAGAUUUCGAGCAGAUCUGAGCUUGGACGGUGAGCGAGUAGAAAAUUGAAGGAUUACACAAGCAAAUGUGAGCAACUGGGCAAUUUCGUGAGAGGAAUAAAGCAUAGGUGUGGCCACGCAGUGAGUUAGUGCCAACUACAACGAAAGUCGAAGGUAAAAAUAACCCUAAACGUAAUAAGGCCAUGAUACCUUGUUGUUUUUGUAUAUCGAUGAAAAUAUUUGUCUGCUUUACAAAGAUAAUUACAAUUAAGUUUAUACACAAUAGAAAGAUCAAAAUAAGGAAAGUCAAAUCUACCCAAAUUUGUAGAUCAAAAUUAUAAAUUACAGCUCAUUAGGAAUUGCCUAUUUUUAAAGUUAUCAGGGGCAUGUAGUUCAUUAUUUUGUUCAGUGGGUUGCUCACCAUGUCUUUGGCGCUAGCAACAUCAUCAAAUUGGUUUAGACUCAAGUGUACAAGCAGUCAGAUUAAGUGUUCUGGAAAAAAAUGCGCUUAAGUGACGAAGUUAGGAGCUAAAUUGAUCAAAUGACGAAGGAAUGAAGGAUGUUGCCCAGCCGAGCGUUGCAACGCUCUCAUUAAACAUAAGUCCAACGCUAGCUCAACACUGGAAGACAGAAUACUUGGAUGCAGGGUAGCGUUGCAACACUGCCCCAAGCGUUGCAACGCUCCGGAGAUGCCCCAAGUCCAUCGUCGAGGCGCUCAUCAACGCUACGCUCCAACCUUCUAGGACAGAAUAGGCAGCAUUGCAACGCUCACGCUAUGUGGUUUGACGGACGUACAGCCUCAGCACGUGGGCAACACAACGUCAGGACAACGUUGCAACGCUUGCCUAACGCUCGGCCAGCGUUGCAAUGCUUUUCCUAGCAUUGUGACGCUGCAAUAGUUUUAUAAAAGAAUAAUUUGGGUCAGCCGAUUAGAUAUAUCGAGUACACCCGAUCUUGAACAUUACCGCUCUGUUCCAGCCUCGUUUUAGCUCCCUUUUAUACCAGAAUUCUGAAAAAUUGUUCCCCUUUGCAAAUUGUAUUGAUUUAGAACAUGUUUCGUGGCUAAUAGGUAAGAACUUAGCUUGGGUUUGUUAGUUUCGUUUGGUUCUGAUUCAAUUCUUAAGACUCAUAUUGUAAUUUUGUGAAUUUUAUUAUGAAUUUAUGAGAAUUUAUCUUGAGCAUAUUAUUCAA